rnacentral:rRNA from 1 species
GGGCCCGCACAAGCAGCGGAGCAUGUGGUUUAAUUCGAAGCAACGCGAAGAACCUUACCAAGGCUUGACAUCCCUCGAAGUGCAUAGAAAUAUGUACGCUCUUCGGAGCGAGGAGACAGGUGGUGCAUGGUUGUCGUCAGCUCGUGUCGUGAGAUGUUGGGUUAAGUCCCGCAACGAGCGCAACCCUUACUCUCAGUUACCAGCGGGUUAAGCCGGGGACUCUGAGAGGACUGCCGGGGACAACUCGGAGGAAGGUGGGGAUGACGUCAAAUCAUCAUGCCCCUUAUGUCUUGGGCUACACACGUGCUACAAUGGCCGUAACAAAGGGAAGCGAAGGAGUAAUCCGGAGCGGAGCCCAUAAAAGCGGUCCCAGUUCGGAUUGUGGGCUGCAACCCGCCCACAUGAAGUUGGAGUUGCUAGUAAUCGCGAAUCAGCAUGUCGCGGUGAAUGCGUUCCCGGGCCUU